rnacentral:ncRNA from 2 species
UUUUUAUUGAAUAAACUGAGACGAUUCAAAUGAUCGUCUUAACUUUCAGGAUGAAGUUGGGUGUAAUUCCCACGCUGACCCGCAACUGUGAUCGGAACGAAUCAAAAAGAUAUGAUCUUUUUGUUCUCAUUUCGCAAGCCAGAUCUCCCUGCAGACUAAGACCUC